GACGAACGCUGGCGGCGUGCCUAAUACAUGCAAGUUGAGCGAUGAAGCUUGGUGCUUGCACCAAUUUGAAGAGCAGCGAACGGGUGAGUAACGCGUGGGGAAUCUGCCUUUGAGCGGGGGACAACAUUUAGAAACGAAUGCUAAUACCGCAUAACAACUUUAAACAUAAGUUUUAAGUUUGAAAGAUGCAAUUGCAUCACUCAAAGAUGAUCCCGCGUUGUAUUAGCUAGUUGGUGAGGUAAAGGCUCACCAAGGCGAUGAUACAUAGCCGACCUGAGAGGGUGAUCGGCCACAUUGGGACUGAGACACGGCCCAAACUCCUACGGGAGGCAGCAGUAGGGAAUCUUCGGCAAUGGACGAAAGUCUGACCGAGCAACGCCGCGUGAGUGAAGAAGGGUUUCGGAUCGUAAAACUCUGUUGGUAGAGAAGAACGUUGGUGAGAGUGGAAAGCUCAUCAAGUGACGGUAACUACCCAGAAAGGGACGGCUAACUACGUG
rnacentral:rRNA from 1 species